rnacentral:lncRNA from 1 species
GAAAAAGUGGAGAUGCUGAAUAAAGACAAACGAUGCUUUCUUCUAUAAAGAGAGGAGUAAAUGAGGCAGUAGCUGGAAAUGAGUGAUAAAGCUAAAAUGAGACUCCCAGGGUAUGGCCCUCGUGCAAUAUGGCUGAUGUCCUUAUUAGAAGAGGAAGAGACACCAGGAAUGCAUGUGCACAGAAAAAAUGCCAUAAGAGGACAUAGCAAGAAGGCAACCAGCUGCAAGCCAAGACAGGCCUCAGGAGAAACCAAAUGUGCUGACAUCUUGAUCUUAGACUUAUAACAUCCACAACUGUGAGAAAAUGAACUUUUGUUAUUUAAGGCACCCAUUCUGUGGUACUUUCUUAUGAUAACCCUAUAGCAAUGCAAGAAUGGCCUAAUACAUCUAUAUUUAUAUUGGACAAAAUUGACUUUAAGC